AUUUAUAUAGUUUAAAAAACAUUACAUUUUCAUUGUAAAAUUAAGAUUAAUAAAUUUUCUUUAUAAAUA
rnacentral:tRNA from 1 species